GGGGGAUGGGGCUCUGCAGGAGCCUGAUGCUCCUCGGACCCUGAAGGCACUACGACUAGAAGGCCCGGCUCAGGGGCAGGUUGGCUGUCACUGAGCCGAGAGGCACCAGGUGGCAGGAGGCACCAGAUGGCAGGCUGUGAGGCUGCCUCAGCUGAAGUCGCGGUUGCGCAGGAGGAGUGGGGCUACCAGGGUCCACAGGUAGAGGAGCAGCCCUGCCCAG
rnacentral:lncRNA from 1 species